ACCCGCUGAAUUUAAGCAUAUAAGUAGGCGGCGCGCAAGAAACCUACAAGGACUCCCAUUGUAGUGGCGAACGCGCAGGGGCAGACUCAUGGUGGAAAGUGGGGUGCAUGGUCCUGAUGUGUAGUCUUUUAAUGUGUUACUGGCAGAGAUGCAGCUGCAGGCUCUUGGAAAAGGGCAUCAAAGAGGGUGAAAACCCUGUGUCGUGACCGUUGCUCCUGCAUUCGGUGCUCAAAUUACGAGUUGUGUACCCUGGCAUUGGUGCAUGAAGUGGUGGUAAUUUUCAUCCAAAGCUGCAGAAGUGUUUGAGACCAAAAGUAAACAAGUACCUUGUGGGAAAGGUGAAACAGGAUUUUGAAAAGAGAGACACAUUUGCUUGAACUUGCUGAAUUUGAAGUGAGGGGUGUCAAUGUAAGGUGGUUUGAUCUCUGUGAUCCAAAGUGUUUGUCUGCUGCUUUGUGCACGUUUUGUGUUGGCAUGUCAUGAACAGAAUGCGCACAGUGCAGCUGGCCCAUCAAUCAAACUGAGCAUGUUGCAGGGCAGUAGCAAGGACCUCGUUGGCCAUCCCUGGGUGCGGGGCGAUCUGUGCAUUGUUCGCGUAUGUGCAUUUGGGUGACUACAUGGUUUUAUUUGGCCCGUCUUGAAACACGGAUCAAGGAGUCUAACAUACGUGCAAGUUCAUGAAUGGUAGGUUUGUGUGCAUAAUGAAGAUACUAGCUGCAAGCAUUGCACCAGCAGCCGGCCAUUUCCUUGCGAAGGGCCCGCGUAUGAGCACUCCUGUCAGGACCCGAAAGAUGGUGAACUAUGUCUGUGUAAGACAAACUUAGGGGAAACUCUGAUGGAGGCCUGAAGCGAUACUAACGUGCAAAUUGUUCGUUACACAUGGACAUAGGGGUGAAAGACUAAUCGAACCAUCUAGUAGCUGGUUCCCUCUGAAGUUUCCCUCAGGAAAGCUGGAGCUGCAUAGUUUUACUGGGUAAAGCAAAUGAUUCGAGGCAUUGGGGGCUUAUCGCCUUUGACCUAUUCUCAAACUCUAAAUCGGUAAAGUCUAGUAGUUACUUGUGUGAGCUGCUGGCGCAAGUGACAUCUCCAAGUGGGCCAUUCUUGGUAAGCAGAACUGGCGAUGAGAGAUGAAUCUAAUGUUAGGCUAAGGUGCCUUAUUGCAUGCUCAUCAGAUACCAUAAAGGGUGUUGGCUCAUCCUGACAGCAGGACGGUGGUCAUGGAAGUUGAAAUCCGCUAAGGAGUGUGUAAUAACUCACCUGCCGAAUGGACUAGCCCCGAAAAUGGAUGGCACUCAAGUUGGCAACUGAUACCGAACCAAUGCUGCAAUGUGGUUGCAUCAAUGAGUAGGAGGGCAUGUGGUUUUGUGAUGAAGAUUGAGGUGCAAACCUUGACAGAACAGCCUUGGGUGCAGAUCUUGGUGGUAGUAGC
rnacentral:rRNA from 1 species